rnacentral:tRNA from 1 species
CCGCCCUUGGCUCGGUCGGAUAGAGCAUCAGCUACAAUUCCGGAGGGGCGGACGUUCGAAUUGUUCCGGGUGCGCCA